rnacentral:rRNA from 1 species
AGAUUGAACGCUGGCGGCAUGCCUUACACAUGCAAGUCGAACGGCAGCACGGGAGCAAUCCUGGUGGCGAGUGGCGAACGGGUGAGUAAUAUAUCGGAACGCGCCCAGUCGUGGGGGAUAACGCAGCGAAAGCUGUGCUAAUACCGCAUACGAUCUAUGGAUGAAAGCGGGGGAUCGCAAGACCUCGCGCGAUUGGAGCGGCCGAUAUCAGAUUAGCUAGUUGGUGGGGUAAAAGCCUACCAAGGCGACGAUCUGUAGCUGGUCUGAGAGGACGACCAGCCACACUGGAACUGAGACACGGUCCAGACUCCUAGGGAGCAGCAGU